rnacentral:rRNA from 1 species
AGAGUUUGAUUAUGGCUCAGAUUGAACGCUGGCGGUAGGCUUAACACAUGCAAGUCGUGCGAGAAAGUAUCUUCGGAUAUGAGUAGAGCGGCGAACGGGUGAGUAACGCGUAGGAAUGUACCUAGUAGAAGGGGAUAGCCCGAGGAAACUCGGAUUAAUACCGUAUACCUCCUUCGGGAGAAAGAGGGCCUCUCUUUGAAGCUUUCGCUACUAGAUCAGCCUGCGUAAGAUUAGCUUGUUGGUGAGGUAAUGGCUCACCAAGGCUACGAUCUUUAGCUGGUCUGAGAGGACGAUCAGCCACAUUGGGACUGAGACACGGCCCAGACUCCUACGGGAGGCAGCAGUGGGGAAUAUUGGACAAUGGGCGCAAGCCUGAUCCAGCCAUACCGCGUGUGUGAAGAAGGCCUUCGGGUUGUAAAGCACUUUAAGCAGGGAGAAAAAAAUAUAGGUUAAUACCCUAUGUUCUUGAUGUUACCUGCAGAAUAAGCACCGGCUAAUUCCGUGCCAGCAGCCGCGGUAAUACGGAAGGUGCAAGCGUUAAUCGGAAUUACUGGGCGUAAAGCGCGCGUAGGUGGUUUGUUAAGUUGGAUGUGAAAGCCCUGGGCUCAACCUAGGAACUGCAUCCAAAACUGACUGACUAGAGUACGAUAGAGGGAGGUAGAAUUCAUAGUGUAGCGGUGGAAUGCGUAGAUAUUAUGAAGAAUACCAGUGGCGAAGGCGGCCUCCUGGAUCUGUACUGACACUGAGGUGCGAAAGCGUGGGUUAGCGAACAGGAUUUAGAUACCCUGGUAGUCCACGCCGUAAACGAUGACAACUAGCUGUUGGGAGGCAAUGCCUUUCAGUGGCGCAGCUAACGUUUUUAAGUUGUCCGCCUGGGGAGUACGGCCGCAAGGCUAAAACUCAAAUGAAUUUGACGGGGACCCGCACAAGCGGUGGAGCAUGUGGUUUAAUUCGAUGCAACGCGAAAAACCUUACCUACUCUUGACAUACUUGGAGGCUCUUGUAAUGAGA